rnacentral:rRNA from 1 species
UACGUAGGGUGCGAGCGUUAAUCGGAAUUACUGGGCGUAAAGCGUGCGCAGGCGGUGAUGUAAGACAGUUGUGAAAUCCCCGGGCUCAACCUGGGAACUGCAUCUGUGACUGCAUUGCUGGAGUGCGGCAGAGGGGGAUGGAAUUCCGCGUGUAGCAGUGAAAUGCGUAGAUAUGCGGAGGAACACCGAUGGCGAAGGCAAUCCCCUGGGCCUGCACUGACGCUCAUGCACGAAAGCGUGGGGAUCAAACAGG